ACCUGUAGAAUGCAGCCAAGAAUGACUUGCCGGAGUUUUCUUGAUAGAGCUCCGGUUGGUGUAAAGAACUUCGUCCGGCAGGUUGUUCUUGGCUACAUUCAGU
rnacentral:pre_miRNA from 1 species